AAACAUUAACCCCUAAGUGCCUAUGUUAGUGAAAAGUAUGCUUCACAUGACUCAACUGCUCUGUCAAGGAAGACAGAUUCUCUCCCCUCCCCCUCCAAUAAGUAAAUAAAUACAAUUGGGAGUAUUGGUUACAUUUCUUAAUAAAGCAUUAUUUAGCUGGAAAAAGACAUCAACACUCUUCCCCAAGGUGGUAAUCAUUUCAUUUACCACAUGCAAAAACACCUCCUCCACAGGCUGGAAAAGGCCUUAAAGUAUUAACAGUAUGAAAUACUCUUUUGUGUUUUACCUCCCACAAAGGAGACCAGCUAAAUCACAGCCUCAGCAAUUCCUGUAAAUCUACAAAUCUUUCCUGCUGUGAAUUAUAAAAAACUGAACUGGAAUGCAAAGGCAACAUAUCUGAUAUUACAUUUUCAGUAAAGAGGACGAUGACUUUCUGACUCACAAACUGCUGUUUUAAGUAGCUCGAAAUAAACACCAAAUGCAUGGAUUUUCAGAAAGGUCAACUAUUUCUCUGCAGAGCAACUUACCACAUGAAACAUUACAAAAUAAACCAACAACCCUGAGAAAUGUUUUGGGAAAUAUUGGACAUUUUGGAAUGUGCAUCUCCCAUAAAUGUCCUUUGUUUUGAGAUUAAUGAAAUUUACCUCGUUUACGUGUCCCAGGAUGCAUUGUGCUGUUCAGAUGAUCAUGCGUAACAAGUCCAAGAGAAACCAUAAAGGCAAGUUUCUGAAUUAAGAG